GAGACAAAGAUGGUGACAGGAAGUGAUGCAAGAGAACUGGUUGAGACGUGGCUGAUGACAGGUGACAGGCACAUGGAAAGAAGACGAGGACGGCUUGCGACGAGUAAACGCUAACGAGGCCUGCUUUGGAGCACCAGGAAAAAGCUUUGCAGCGGGCUCGACUUUCUUCAUUCCUGCCGUUUCAAGCAAAGACAUUGCCGGUUCCGGACCAGUGAGAUCCAGUGACACCGUCUUUUAAAUCCAUCCUUCCUCUUUGGACAGCACUCAACGUACUGACAGUCCUCAGCGUUUGUGGGGCAACCAAGUUGCACUUUUUUGCCCGGCGUCGACGUUGUUGGGUGCGCCGCAAACUCCGGCGACAGGGGGGGAAAAAAGGCUACGCAAGUUGCAGCGAGGGGCUCCGACGGCCGCGGAGUCCGCCGGCGCCGCACAGCUGCCUGCCGUCCGGCCGCACGUCCCGCCGGAACUUGAGCUCCUCGGCGGCGGCCGGGUUGCGCAGGGCGAUGAUGUCGAAGGCCUCGGUGUCUUCCUCGCCGCCGCCCUCGUCGUCGUAGGUGACCACGUUCUCGCGGAUGUCCUCCUCGGAAAUGAUGAGCGGCUCCUUCUUGCUGCGUCUUAGCGUCACAAACAGAACGACGAUGGCUAAGGGACACAAGAUCAAAAAAAAACAAAACGAUGAUGACACCCAAGCUGGGAUACAGCAAGAUAUUACAUUGUUUUAUGUAUCAGUUUUACGAUAGACCUCAACUGGGGGUGGCCCAAAAAAAAAAAAAAAAACCACCUUGAAGCGAGCAUUUCCAGAAGCGUCGUAGGAUAGCCUCCAAUUUCAUUUCUUGAUGGCCAAAAGUGAAAAUGGGCAAUAUGGAAUCUCCUAAAAGUGUCUUUUAAUUAGAUUGCAAAAUGUCCCAUGUGGGACUAAUAAAGAUGUUAUUAUA